AGUGAACGCUGGCGGCGUGCUUAACACAUGCAAGUCGAACGAGAACGGAUUAUAGCUUGCUAUAAUUGUCAGCUAAGUGGCGCACGGGUGAGUAAUGUAUAGGUAAUAUGCCUCUUACUAAGGGAUAACAAAUGGAAACGUUUGCUAAUACCUUAUACUCCUUAUUAACAGAAGAUAAUAAGGGAAAGAUUUAUUGGUAAGAGAUUAGCCUUUAUUGUAUCAGUUAGUUGGUGGGGUAAUGGCUUACCAAGACUAUGAAACAUAACUGGUUUGUGAGGAUUAUCAGUCACACUGGAACUGUUACACGGUCCAUACUCCUACGGGUGGCUGCAGUGGUCAAUAUUGCACAAUGGACGAACCUCUCACGCACCCACGCCGCGUGGAGGAUGACACAUUUCGGUGCGUAAACUCCUUUUAUAUGAGAAGAUAAUGACGUUAUUAUAUGAAUAAGCACCGGCUAACUCCGUGCCAGCCGCCGCCGUAA
rnacentral:rRNA from 1 species